UAAUUUUUGGCCACUUUCUGGUCAGGGCCGACUGUUGCCUGAAGAAGGGUAA
rnacentral:ncRNA from 1 species